AUCAGGUGGGAUUACCCGCUGAACUUAAGCAUAUCAAUAAGCGGAGGAAAAGAAACUAACAAGGAUUCCCCUAGUAACGGCGAGUGAAGAGGGAAAAGCCCAAAUUUGUAAUCUGGCUCUUUUAGAGUCCGAGUUGUAAUUUUGAGAACUGUUUUCAGUGCUGGACCAUGUUUAAGUCUGUUGAAAAACAGCAUCAUUGAGGGUGAUAAUCCCGUUCAUGAUAUGGACUACCAGUACUUUAUGAUACAGUCUCUAAGAGUCGAGUUGUUUGGGAAUGCAGCUCAAAGUGGGUGGUAAAUUCCAUCUAAGGCUAAAUAUAGGUGAGAGACCGAUAGCAAACAAGUACCGUGAGGGAAAGAUGAAAAGAACUUUGGAAAGAGAGUUAACAGUACGUGAAAUUGCUGAAAGGGAAACAAUUGAAGUUAGCCUUGUUAUUGUCAGUUCAGCUCUUUUAGAGUGUAUUCUGAUGAUUAACGACCAACAUCAGUCUUUGAGUGCUGGAUAAGGGUUUUGGAAAUGUAGCAGUCUCGGCUGUGUUAUAGUCCAUUACUUUGAUACAGUGCUUGGGAUUGAGGAUCGCAGUAAGCCAUUUUAUGGUGGACCAAAUUUUUGGUCUUCUUACUGAGGAUGUUGGUGAAAUAG
rnacentral:rRNA from 1 species